rnacentral:rRNA from 1 species
GGGGUUGGAGGCCCUUUUUUUAAAUUUUUUUUUCUUUGAUUAAAACUUUAUGACUCUAUAACUUUUAUACAGUGAGGCCAAACUUGGCAUGUGAUACCUUUUCGAAAAGCCCAAAGAGAGCCAUCCGAUGAAAGAAGCAGGACAAUGGAACAUAUCCAUUGAUUUUUUGUCAACUCCAAAUUUUGACCUUUAGUUAAGCGUGCUUGGGGGAGAGUAGUACUAGGACGGGUGAUCUCCCGGGCAG